GUCUAUGGCCAUGCUUCCCUGAACAAGCCCGAUCCUGUAUGAUCUUGGAAGCUAAGCAGAGUUGGGCCUGGUUAGUACUUAGGAAGGCCAGGUUAGUACUUAGGAAGGCCAGGUGCUGUAGGCA
rnacentral:rRNA from 1 species